rnacentral:rRNA from 1 species
GACGUAGGAUGCAAGCGUUGUCCGGAAUUAUUGGGCGUAAAGAGUUCGUAGGCGGUUUGUUAAGUCUGGUGUUAAAUACGGGAGCUCAACUCCCGCAUGGCAUUGGAUACUGGCAGGCUAGAGUGCGGUAGAGGUCUCGGGAAUUCCAGGUGUAGCGGUGAAAUGCGUAGAUAUCUGGAGGAACACCGGUGGCGAAAGCGCGAGACUGGGCCGUAACUGACGCUGAGGAACGAAAGCCAGGGGAGCGAAAGGG